GACCCUGACGUCAGACCCCCUCCUCCCACCACCCCCUCUGCCUCUUCCUCAUCUCUCUCAAGAUCCAUCUCCAAGAGGGUCCUAGUGAGGGACCAACCCAAGGUGAGGACCCAACCACAGUGUCUGAGCCAGUGUCUACAGGACACACGACGCGUCCAUCACUGGAGCUUUAACUAGAGGAUCAGGGCCACACGGGUGGCUCCCCAGCCUUCCUCUCCCACUCUCCCUGUAUCUGCCCUCACCCCUAAAUACACACACGGACCACAGGACCAUUCUGCUUUUUCCUCCUGCUUUCCAGUCCCUGUCCUUGGCCCUUCAAGCGUUUUUUCCUCAACCGGCAAUCGCUCGUCUGGAGAGAAGGAGAAGCUGCAAGGUCAGUGCAGGAGAGAGGCAGCAAGAAAUCUGAAGCCCAGAGAACAGCCUGGAGAAGGAGGAGCCGCCAGCUGGCAGGCUGCGCUUCAGAGCUGCUGAUCGGAUCCUGGUAGCCAGGGCUCUGGACGUGCCUGGUACAAAGGGAGGAGCUAAGCCUCCAGAGUCCUGGCAUGGGCAGGUGGGGGAGCCCCAAGGGCCAGCACCUCUGCCCCCACCCCAGAAGACUGCAGACAGCUGUGACGGAUGGCCACCUGGCCUGAACUGACUCCUGGCCCUCUCUUUAAUCCUGUUCUGACUCUGAGGACAUUCUGAUGCAGAAGGAAGAGGACCUGAAGUGCUGACAGCUGGUCCAAGAGCACACUUUGAGUAGUGAGACUCCGGAAUACUGAGCAGCGAGCACCAGAGCAGCAGUUCUCAUCAAAGGAGGGCAUCAGAACAAACACGCGGUCCUCGCCUCCUGCUCCCUUUCUCAAGACAGAGACAUUCUGAUCCAGUAGGUGUAGGGUGGGUCCUAACACAGGUGUUUCGAAACAGUCUCAAAUGGUUUCAUGCGCCCAUCCCCUUGUAAAAACUGGUUGUUCCUGAAUCCAAUAAUAAUACCUAUGUUAACCAAGUAGUCGGCGUGUGCCAGAUGACUUAAACGCACCUUUCCAAUCAUUCCUCACAACAGUCUUGUGGAGGAGGUUCUGUGAGGAGUCUCAUUCUACAGACGAGGAAACUGGGAGGUGAAGGAAACUGUCAAGCCACAAAGCCUGGACCCUCAGUCACGAUGCUAAACAGCUUCCUUUGUCAAGCAGAAGAAGGAAGCAUUGGGGUCCAAGGACCUGGGCUCAAGACCACUGCCUAACUUCGUGAUCUAAUUAAGUCAGCUAAUUAGGCCAGGCACAGUGGCUCAUGCCUAUAAUCCCGGCACUCUGGGAGGCCAAGGCAGGAGGAUCACUUGAGCCCAGGACUUCCAGACCAGCCUGGGCAACACAGCGAGACCC
rnacentral:lncRNA from 1 species